GACGAACGCUGGCGGCGUGCUUAACACAUGCAAGUCGAACGGAAAGGCCCAGCUUGCUGGGUGCUCGAGUGGCGCACGGGUGAGUAAAACGUGGGUGAUCUGCCUCUAACUUCGGGGUAAGCUUGGGAAACUGGGUCUAUUACCGGAUAGAUCAAUCGUUUAUUGUCGGUUGUGGAGAGGUUUUUCGGUUAGGGAUGAGCCCGCGGCCUAUCAGCUUGUUGGUGGGGUAAUGGCCUACCAAGGCGUCGACGGGUAGCCGGCCUGAGAGGGUGGACGGCCACAUUGGGACUGAGAUACGGCCCAGACUCCUACGGGAGGCAGCAGUGGGGAAUAUUGCACAAUGGGCGCAAGCCUGAUGCAGCGACGCCGCGUGGGGGAUGACGGCCUUCGGGUUGUAAACCUCUUUCGACAGGGACGAAGCUUUGGUGACGGUACCUGUAGAAGAAGCACCGGCUAACUACGUG
rnacentral:rRNA from 1 species